rnacentral:rRNA from 1 species
UACGAAGGGGGCUAGCGUUGUUCGGAAUUACUGGGCGUAAAGGGCGCGUAGGCGGUGUGUCAAGUCAGGCGUGAAAGCCCCGGGCUCAACCUGGGAACCGCGCUUUGAGACUGGCACGCUCGAGUUCGGGAGAGGAUGGUGGAAUUCCCAGUGUAGAGGUGAAAUUCGUAGAUAUUGGGAAGAACACCGAUGGCGAAGGCAGCCAUCUGGACCGACACUGACGCUGAGGCGCGAAAGCGUGGGGAGCAAACAGG